rnacentral:rRNA from 1 species
UACGGGGGGGGCAAGCGUUGUCCGGAAUUACUGGGCGUAAAGGGCUCGUAGGUGGCCAACUAAGUCAGACGUGAAAUCCCUCGGCUUAACCGGGGAACUGCGUCUGAUACUGGAUGGCUUGAGUUCGGGAGAGGGAUGCGGAAUUCCAGGUGUAGCGGUGAAAUGCGUAGAUAUCUGGAGGAACACCGGUGGCGAAGGCGGCAUCCUGGACCGACACUGACGCUGAGGAGCGAAAGCCAGGGGAGCAAACGGG